ACUUAUGGCCUUUGUAAUCUGGGAAAUGGCUCUGGUUCUCACAUCAAAGACAUAGAGGUAGAAAUAGUUUCCAAAUACUAAACAUCUGGGAUAUAUUUCCUCUUUUAUAAAAAAAAAAAAAUUCAAUGCUUUUGAUAUCCUUAACCCCAUGCUUCUUAGGCCCUCAUCUGUCAACAGACAAUGCUUUGCACAAGUUGUGAUUAAUAGGCAAACUGAUACACGACUCUGCUGAUGUCUAUCAUAUUCCCAUGAAAUUAUUCCCUUCUUGUUUAUGACUACUAAAGACCCUCUUAUUUAAGAAAGUCUCUGUCGGAAAGGUUUCCAUUGAUUUUGGCAAACUUUUAAAAGAGAAAAUAAAUCCACAAAAACUGGAGGAAGUAUUUUGUCCCAUACUAAGGUUUGCUUUAGGCUUAUUCUACCAGGAGGCUAGAAACUGAGACACGUUAUUUUAGUGCUAUAACAGAAUGCCUGAGACUAGGUAAUUUAUAAAAAACAGAAAUUUAUUUCUUACUAUUCUGGAGUGUGUAAAGUGCAAGAUCAAAACUCCAGCAUCAGAUGCAGGCCUUCUUACUGAAUCCUCACAUAAAGGAGGGCAGAAGGGGGUGUGUGUGUGUGUGUGUGUGUGUGUGUGUGAGAGAGAGAGAGAAAGAGACAGAGACAGCGAGAGCUAGUGCACAAGAGAGCGCAAGAGCACACUUCUGCAAAUCUUUCUAAUAGCAGCAUUAAUCCAUUCAUGACAGAAGGGACUUCAUGACCUAAACACCUUCCAAAAGUUCCCAACCAACACUGUUACAUUGAAUAGAGUGAAAGCUGAGAUUUAAAAGAAUAAGAUUAGGCCAAUGGAUUGGAUUCAGAUUAUAAAGGGCCAAAUGGGCCGAGGCACACUGUCUAAAAAGAAUGGACAGAAAAGAUAUGGUAAAGACUUAAUGUUUCUACCCUCUGUGUCCUGAGUGUGCUAUUAUAAAUCUAUAUCUUCCCUUUAAACAUUUUUAAAUGUUAAUUAUUUCUAACCUCAAUCUUUAUUUUUUUCUUACUUAAGGGUAUUUUGCAUUUUCUUCAGUUUCCAUGUACAAGUUUCUUCAUUACUUUUACCAUUCAUUUUGGUAGCUGACAUUUUCAAC
rnacentral:lncRNA from 10 species